rnacentral:rRNA from 1 species
UUUAAGGAGAGUUUGAUCCUGGCUCAGGAUGAACGCUGGCGGCGUGCCUAAUACAUGCAAGUCGAACGAGGUGCUUUUGUAGCAAUACGAGA